CAGAGGGGAGCCUUGACCUCUCCGCCCCAGGCUGUGGGGCUGUGAGGGCCAGGGGGUCAUGGGGCUGCUCCCCCUGCCUGGGCUGGGAGAGAGGAUGGACAGGGUGAGGUCUGCCUGUGUGUCCCCCGGCUGAGGGCAGAUGGCAUGGGGAGUGGGGAGGCAGAGGUCAGCAGGGAAGAUGCGGGGCCGGCCGGCUCUGAGACCUUGGGUGAGUUGCAGGCCCCCUCCAAACCUCAGUUUCUCCACCUGUGUGGCAAGGAUUACGAGGACCGAGGACUCCUGGGUUCCAGCCAGAACUCGACAGGCGGGCAGCCACCUCACCUCUGCUGGAAGCGCAGCACCAGGCCAGGGGUUCCAGAGAUGGGCUGCCACCACUCCACCCUCCGGGACAAAGCCUGCCACCCCCUGGGAACUGGAUGCCGGGUCUUGUAGCUGCCUCCACCUCACCAGGGCUCCUCGGGCAGACUGCUCUGGGCCUCGGUUCCUCAUCUGUAAAAUGGGAUAAUUAUACCUUCACCGCUGAACUACUGUAUGCCAUUCUCUGACCAUCUCCUGCUGGGAGCAGAGGACUCACAGCCAAAAGACACAGCCUCAGGCAGAAGCUCCAGCGGGGAAGACAGCAAGAUAAACAAGCACCUCUCUCCGCAAUCCAUGUCUGGGCCCAGAGGCCGUCCUCUGGCUUGCAUGCCCCAUCCGAGCUUGCCUCACCAGACACUCGCUUCACACUCGCCUUGUGCCUGGACCAGGACCUUGUCAAGGACAGGGAUGGGGAAGGUGAUCUCACUCACCCUGUAAACCCAGAGACCAACACAGCACCCAGGAAGCGCUACAUAAAUGUUCACAAAAGGAUAAAAGAAUGAAUAAAACACCACAGAGAUUCAAAGAAA